rnacentral:misc_RNA from 1 species
GAAAUAAACCUGAUGGGCUGCUGCUGGCUCUCUAGGGAGCAUGUGCACACUUGUCAUCUUUAUAUCUCCACCUGUGCACCUUUUGUAGAUCUGGAUAUCUUUCUGAAUGCCUGGCAUUCAGGUUCGAGGAUUGACUUUUGUCUCUCCUUACAUUUCCAGGCCUAUGUUUUCUUCAUAUACACCAUUUAUGUUAUAGAAUGUAAUGAAAAGGCCUUUGUGCCUACAAACUUAUACUACUUUCAGCAACGGAUCUCUUGGCUCUCGCAUCGAUGAAGAACGCAGCGAAAUGCGAUAAGUAAUGUGAAUUGCAGAAUUCAGUGAAUCAUCGAAUCUUUGAACGCACCUUGCGCUCCUUGGUAUUCCGAGGAGCAUGCCUGUUUGAUUGUCAUUAAUAUAUCAACCUCCUCAUGUUUUUACUUGUCCAGUGUUUGGAUGUG